AGGAGGCGUCGCCUGUACUGCUGCCGUACCACGUCGUGCAUUCGUCAUACUCCGGAACGGUACCCGCGACCUACCCAGCCGGAAAAGCCCGCCUCACCAAACGGAAGCGCCACACCCUGACAGUCACGUGAAUACGUGAUGGUCGGCCUGGCUCCCCCUAGCUGAUUCACUUGGGCUGACUGGUUUCGCAUCGUGAGCCGGCUUUGUGUGUGUCUUGGGCUUCUUGUUUUCGGCUGUCAUGUGUAUUUUGUCUUUUCAGUUUUUUUUAUCGGUUCUCCUUUCAGGUUUAACUGCUUCGUGAGUUGAAUAUAAGGAUUGUAAAUAUUUCUUUGGAAUGAUAUGGUUAAUAUUUCUCCUUUCAGGUUUA